UGUCUGCCUCAGCGUCGG
rnacentral:rRNA from 2 species